rnacentral:lncRNA from 1 species
UGAUGAAAUAGCAAUUCAGGAGCCCGCCUGAAGAAUAGGGUGAAGAAAGAGUUAAUUAGGAGCCCGCCUGGAGAAUAGGAUGAUGAAAUUUUCAGUCAGGAGCCCACCUGGAGAAUAGGUGAUGAAAUUGCAAGUCAAGAUCCCACCUGGAUAAUAGGGUGAUGAAAUAGCAAGUUAGGAGCCCACUUGGAGAAUAACGUAAUGAAAUUGCAAGUCAGGAGCUCACUUGGAAAAUAGAGUGAUGAAAAAGCAAGUCAGGAGCCCGCUUGGAGAAUAGAGUGAUGAAAUUACAAGCCAUGAGCACGAUUAGAGAAUAGAGUGAUGAAAUAGUAAGUCAGGAGCCCGCAUGGAGAACAGGAUGAAGAAAUAGAAAGUCAGGAGACUUCCUGGAGAAUAGGGUGAAAAAAUUAAAAGUCAGGAGCCUGCACGGAGAACAGGGUAAGGAAAUUGCUAGUCAAGAGACCGUCUGAAGAAUAGGGUGAAGAAAUAGCAAGUUGGGAGCCCGCCUGGAGAAUAAGGUGAAGAAAUUGAUAGUCAGGAGCCAAUCUGGA